CUGGCCUGCUCAGGUGCUGCCCCUUGGCAAGAGGGCUCUUCCCUUGGCAUUUUCUCAAAGGGAUGCUCCGUGCCCAGCCAAACAGGAAUUGCAUCCAAAAUUGCAGACAGCGAACGAUUUCUCACAGACAACAGAUGCCAACACCAAGAACUCUUGCUGCCCUCGGGGUGAAGCACACCACCAGUGAACAGACAUCAAUACACGCUGGAUUCCUCCUCGAGAAUGCUGCCAGCAUGUAACCCUUACACGAACCACUUCGCCGGGCCCAGAAAUCACAACCUUCAGACCAGCAGCGUGGGACCUUGCCCACUGCCCCUCCACUGGCACCUUUCCAAAGCAUUGCACUACAUUCCAGUAAUACUCUGCAUUUCCAGUGGGCAGCCUGUCUGACCCUCAUCCUGACCCUAAAAAUGCACUAAGGAAUUCUAAAACAGCCCUUAGGAAGGUGUAACAAUACCCUA